rnacentral:lncRNA from 13 species
CUCUAUUUAUAAUUCCAGGGGUUGACAAAGUAUUUAAUGAAGCAGCUGAGAGUUCUCAGUAGCAGCAACCUCCCAUGCCCUCCUUCUCCUGUCUGUGGGCUCACAUCUAGCCACCCGUGAUGAAGUAGUGCCUGUCCCAAAUAACCAUCACCCCUCAGAACUGAGCCUGGAUAUCAGCCGUGGCCACGAUGGUUCUGUCUCAUUCUGUCACAGAUCGUCUUUAUAAGUCAGACAUGUCAGUGCCAUAAACUGAUGAGAGUCUCACUCUAUCACCCAGACAGGAUUGCAGUGGUAUAAUCUCAGCUCACUGCAAUCUCCACUUCCCGGGUUCAAGGUAUUCUCUUGUCUCAGCCUCCCAAGUAAUUGGGGCUAGAGGCACGCACCACUAUGCCCAGAUGAUUUUUGUAUUUUUACUAGAGAUGAGGUGUAUCCAUGUUGGCCAGGCUGGUCUUGAACUCCUGACCUCAGGUGAUCCACCUCCCUCAGCCUCCCUCCCAUAGUGUUGGAAUUACAGGUGUGAUCCACUGUACACAGCAAAUAUCUUCUUGAGUGCUCUCUUCAGCCCUGGAGAAAUCGAAGGUGUGGAAAGGAUCUCAGACCCGGGAAUCCAACACUGUUACUGUACAGAUAAGAAAUGGAGGCCAAAUAGGAUUAGCAACUUGCUCAGAACUCCACAGCUAAGAAGACUCAGAAUCCAAAUAUGUAUCUUCUGCUUUCUGGCGCAUUGUUCUUUCCUUAAUACCACAUCAUUGGAUAGUCUCACUUUCUCAUGCCUUUCUAGUGUUUUUUACUACAAGAAACACUCGGGGCACACCGUGUGCCAUUAGAGCUCCGCAGAUUUUCCUCAGAGGGCCUUUUGUCAUGUGUGCUUCAUGACUGGAUCCCCCACUGCAAGACUUGGUGGGGGGGUGGAAUUCUGUCACAGGAGGUGACUGUGGCAAGGCUGGUCACUAGAUGUUGAUUUCAAGUAUCCAUCUAAUCAUUCUUUCAAUAAAUAUUUAUUGAGCACCUAUUGUUUACCA